rnacentral:misc_RNA from 1 species
AAGUCGUAACAAGGUUUCCGUAGGUGAACCUGCGGAAGGAUCAUUAAUGAGAACUUGCCCUUCGGGGUAGAUCUCCCACCCUUUGUAUACUUAACUUUGUUGCUUUGGCACACCUGCCCUUGGGCUACCGGCUUCGGCUGGAUAGUGUGUGCCGGAGAAACCAAAACUCUGUUUAAAAUGUCGUCUGAGUACUAUAUAAUAGUUAAAA